rnacentral:rRNA from 1 species
UGUUUCGGCUAGGGGGUCAUCCCGACUUACCAACCCGAUGCAAACUGCGAAUACCGAAGAAUGUUAUCACGGGAGACACACGGCGGGUGCUAACGUCCGUCGUGAAGAGGGAAACAACCCAGACCGCCAGCUAAGGUCCCAAAGUCAUGGUUAAGUGGGAAACGAUGUGGGAAGGCACAGACAGCCAGGAUGUUGGCUUAGAAGCAGCCAUCAUUUAAAGAAAGCGUAAUAGCUCACUGGUCGAGUCGGCCUGCGCGGAAGAUGUAACGGGGCUAAACCAUGCACCGAAGCUGCGGCAGCGACACUAUGUGUUGUUGGGUAGGGGAGCGUUCUGUAAGCCGUUGAAGGUGUACUGUGAGGUAUGCUGGAGGUAUCAGAAGUGCGAAUGCUGACAUAAGUAACGAUAAUGCGGGUGAAAAACCCGCACGCCGGAAGACCAAGGGUUCCUGUCCAACGUUAAUCGGGGCAGGGUGAGUCGACCCCUAAGGCGAGGCCGAAAGGCGUAGUCGAUGGGAAACAGGUUAAUAUUCCUGUACUUGGUGUUACUGCGAAGGGGGGACGGAGAAGGCUAUGUUAGCCGGGCGACGGUUGUCCCGGUUUAAGCAUGUAGGCGGAGGUUCCAGGUAAAUCCGGUACCUUUUAACGCUGAGGUGUGAUGACGAGGCACUACGGUGCUGAAGUAACAAAUGCCCUGCUUCCAGGAAAAGCCUCUAAGCAUCAGGUAACACGAAAUCGUACCCCAAACCGACACAGGUGGUCAGGUAGAGAAUACCAAGGCGCUUGAGAGAACUCGGGUGAAGGAACUAGGCAAAAUGGUGCCGUAACUUCGGGAGAAGG